AGACAACACUCUAGGUCAGUCGAGCAAGACAGAAAGACAAUUAUGGGUUAAUCCCAAGUAUUUACUGGGGAGAGACUGGAAAGACAGUCAGCUCAGUCACGUCAUCUACAGUGUGCUCCUCUCUUUAAUGUGGUGAGGUCCAAUCUCGCACCUCCGUGAUUGCCAGAAUUUACACUACCGUUUCUCUGAUCUCUACCGGAGAUGUUCAACUCAAAACCAACCAAACAUGAUUUUUCCAAUGUAAACCCUACCGCUAACAGUAACCCAUAAUGUCAUAACAUAUCCAUGUCAAUAACUCAAACUUUUCCUUUGUGAUUCACAGCAAACAGGAUGGAAGGAUACCUCGUAUCUCUGACACACUAGAGCCCUUGCUGUCACACUCCCAUCCUGCAUAUCGCGCUCGCUCGUUAUCAAAGUGCUCCACUGGCCUGUGGUUCUUAUCUGUCUUCCUCCAUGGCUCAUCUGAAAGGUAGCAAGGUAAAGGUGCAACAUGUCUUUAGUUAGUUUUAAAGGCUGACUACACUUCCUGAUUUGGCCUUUUUUAGAUUUGGUUAAUUAAGAAAUGCUGGCGGCCAUGACUGAAUUCAAAUGUUUGUUUCGUGGUGUGGUUUGAUGUGUGUGUUCGCUGUUGGGAAGAGUUAGCCAAAUAAUUUAGCCAAUUAGCUUGAGCCAGCUGAUGUGCAACCUGAAUUUGACUCAGGCUUAGGAUAGCCUAUCUCCGGGGCUAGAUAGACACCGUCAAUACAUUUACACAAUGUAAAUUAUAAAAUUUUC
rnacentral:lncRNA from 1 species